GGUAGGAUAGAGGCCUACCAUGGUGGUAACGGGUAANGGGGUGUUAGGGCACGACACCGGAGAGGGAGCCUGAGAAACGGCUACCACAUCCAAGGAUGGCAGCAGGCGCGCAAAUUACCCAAUCCCGACACGGGGAGGUAGUGACAAUAAAUAACAAUACGGGGUUCUUUCGGAUCUCGUAAUUGGAAUGAGUACAAUUUAAAUCUCUUAACGAGGAACAAUUGGAGGGCAAGUCUGGUGCCAGCAGCCGCGGUAAUUCCAGCUCCAAUAGCGUAUAUUAAAGUUGUUGCAGUUAAAAAGCUCGUAGUUGAAUUUCGGGGUUAGUAGGUUGGUCAUGCCUCUGGUAUGUACUGGUCUCACUGAUUCCUCCUUCCUUAUGAACCGUAAUGCCAUUAAUUUGGUGUUGCGGGGAAUUUGGACUGUUACUUUGAAAAAAUUAGAGUGUUUAAAGCAGGCUAACGCUUGAAUACAUCAGCAUGGAAUAAUGAAAUAGGACGUUCGAUCUUAUUUUGUUGGUUUCUAGGAUUGACGUAAUGAUUAAUAGGGAUAGUUGGGGGCAUUAGUAUUCAAUUGUCAGAGGUGAAAUUCUUGGAUUUAUUGAAGACUAACUACUGCGAAAGCAUUUGCCAAGGAUGUUUUCAUUAAUCAAGAACGAAAGUUAGGGGAUCGAAGACGAUCAGAUACCGUCGUAUAAACUAUGCCGACUAGGGAUCGGAUGAUGUUAAUUUUUUAAUGACUCAUUCGGCGCCUUACGGGAAACCAAAGUGUUUGGGUUC
rnacentral:rRNA from 1 species